UACGGGGGGAGCAAGCGUUGUUCGGAUUUACUGGGCGUAAAGGGCGCGUAGGCGGUAGCACAAGUCAGUUGUGAAAUCUCCGGGCUUAACUCGGAAAGGUCAACUGAUACUGUGCGACUAGAGUGCAGAAGGGGCAACUGGAAUUCUCGGUGUAGCGGUGAAAUGCGUAGAUAUCAAGAGGAACACCUGCGGCGAAGGCGGGUUGCUGGGCCGACACUGACGCUGAGGCGCGAAAGCUAGGGGAGCGAACGGG
rnacentral:rRNA from 1 species